UACGGAGGGUGCAAGCGUUAUCCGGAUUCACUGGGUUUAAAGGGUGCGUAGGUGGGCUUGUAAGUCAGUGGUGAAAUCUCCGGGCUUAACCCGGAAACUGCCAUUGAUACUAUAGGUCUUGAAUUAUCUGGAGGUCAGCGGAAUAUGUCAUGUAGCGGUGAAAUGCUUAGAUAUGACAUAGAACACCGAUUGCGAAGGCAGCUCGCUGAGCCGAAACUGACGCUGAGGCACGAAAGCGUGGGGAGCGAACAGG
rnacentral:rRNA from 1 species